AUUGAACGCUGGCGGCAUGCCUUACACAUGCAAGUCGAGCGGCAGCGCGGGGCAACCUGGCGGCGAGCGGCGAACGGGUGAGUAACACAUCGGAACGUGCCCAGACGUGGGGGAGUAGCCCGGCGAAAGACCGGAUUAAUACCGCAUACGAUCUGAGGAUGAAAGCGGGGGAUCGCAAGACCUCGCGCGUUUGGAGCGGCCGAUGGCAGAUUAGGUAGUUGGUGGGGUAAAGGCUUACCAAGCCUGCGAUCUGUAGCUGGUCUGAGAGGAUGAUCAGCCACACUGGGACUGAGACACGGCCCAGACUCCUACGGGAGGCAGCAGUGGGGAAUUUUGGACAAUGGGCGCAAGCCUGAUCCAGCCAUUCCGCGUGCAGGACGAAGGCCUUCGGUUGUAAACUGCUUUGUACGGAACGAAAGCCCUUCUCUAAUACAGAGGGGUCAUGACGGUACCGUAAGAAUAAGCACCGGCUAACUACGUGCCAGCAGCCG
rnacentral:rRNA from 1 species